rnacentral:rRNA from 1 species
GCGAAUUCCAAGCUUGAGUUUGAUCCUGGCUCAGAACGAACGCUGGCGGCGUGCCUAACACAUGCAAGUCGAACGUGAUCCGCCCUUCGGGGUGGUGAAAGUGGCGCACGGGUGAGUAACGCGUGGAUAAUCUGCCCGAGGAUUUGGGAUAACAUCUCGAAAGGGGUGCUAAUACCGAAUAAGCCCACGGGGUCUACGGAUCUUGCGGGAAAAGGGGGGGACCUUCGGGCCUCCUGUCCUUGGAUGAGUCUGCGUACCAUUAGCUAGUUGGUGGGGUAAUGGCCUACCAAGGCGACGAUGGUUAGCUGGUCUGAGAGGAUGAUCAGCCACACUGGAACUGAGACACGGUCCAGACUCCUACGGGAGGCAGCAGUGGGGAAUUUUGCGCAAUGGGGGAAACCCUGACGCAGCAACGCCGCGUGGGUGAUGAAGGCCUUCGGGUCGUAAAGCUCUGUCUGGAGGGAAGAAAUGAUUGGGAGCUAAUACCUCUUGAUCUUGACGGUACCUCUGAAGGAAGCACCGGCUAACUCCGUGCCAGCAGCCGCGGUAAUACGGAGGGUGCAAGCGUUGUUCGGAAUUAUUGGGCGUAAAGCGCGUGUAGGCGGUCUUUUAAGUCUGAUGUGGAAGCCCCGGGCUCAACCUGGGAAGUGCAUUGGAAACUGGGAGGCUUGAGUACGGGAGAGGAGAGUGGAAUUCCUAGUGUAGGAGUGAAAUCCGUAGAUAUUAGGAGGAACACCGGUGGCGAAGGCGGCUCUCUGGACCGAUACUACGCUAGACGCAAAAGC